GACGAACGCUGGCGGCGUGCUUAACACAUGCAAGUCGAACGGAAAGGCUCCAGCUUGCUGGAGUACUCGAGUGGCGAACGGGUGAGUAACACGUGGGUAAUCUGCCCUGCACUCUGGGAUAAGCCUGGGAAACUGGGUCUAAUACUGGAUAUGACCUUUCUCCUUAUGGGGUUUGGUGGAAAGUUUUUCGGUGUAGGAUGAGCCCGCGGCCUAUCAGCUUGUUGGUGGGGUGAUGGCCUACCAAGGCGACGACGGGUAGCCGGCCUGAGAGGGUGAUCGGCAACAUUGGGACUGAGAUACGGCCCAGACUCCUACGGGAGGCAGCAGUGGGGAAUAUUGCACAAUGGGCGGAAGCCUGAUGCAGCGACGCCGCGUGAGGGAUGACGGCCUUCGGGUUGUAAACCUCUUUCAGCAGGGACGAAGCGUAAGUGACGGUACCUGCAGAAGAAGCACCGGCUAACUAUGUG
rnacentral:rRNA from 1 species